AUGCGCGGAGGGGGAAGCAGUGGCGAAAUUGGAUGCUUUUUGCUGAGUUUCUCAGAGAAGUUUCUGGAAAGAUGGAGCCAAAGGGACGCUGGGGGGUGGGGAGCGCCAGGAAGCAAGCGUUUGAAAGAAAGCGAAAAAACCCAAGCGCACCGCGACACCUCCAACCUUCAAGCCACGGCCCAAGCAGAGCCCAAGGCCACUGAGACCCUCACGCCAGAGAAAAAGCACAGGGACCGCGGCAGCCGCUCCUCCCUCUGCCACUGCUCAGCCCCCGAGACUCCCCAGCACGGGGAGAGGGCAGGGGGUAGCCAUGAGAAACCUAGAGCGCUCACUGGACUUUUGCGAGGUGGAAGGAAAGCCGAAACCCGCCCUUUGGAGCCGCCUGUGCGCACGGGCCCCGUCGAGUGGGCUCAGUACGUUAGGACUCAGCGUGGCCGCCAAAGCAUUGGUUGGGGGCGUCUUUCACUAAUUUUUCCUAGGUUUUCUCUUCUAUCGGGCUCUGUGGUCCUUUCACCACCCAUCUUCACUUUGGUGGCCUGACGCUAACGCUGCGAGUUGGGGAAACCGUAGUAACCCCGGGCCUGAGGGGCGUCCCGGGCGGCGGUGCUCCGUUUCUUCCAGCGGUUGCCCCUUUAAGAAAAAGCCCCCCGGAGAGGGGCCCGUGUGGCUGAGUAAAGGUGGCGUGCGCCCGCACAAAGGCGCCGCGUUGUUGGCGGGCUCCGGACCCUGUUGCCCCUGGGCGGGGCGGCGUGGGAAGACCGGGGCGCCUGGGCGGGGAGAACGACGUUGGCGCUAGCGGGGCAGGGCAGGGGGAGGGAGUCACGGGAUUUAGCAGGUGCUUCUCCGCGACCGAGCGACUGCCAUUUUGUGGUGCGGCCGCCGCCAUUUCGCGCGGCCGAGGGGCGGGGUGUGGGCGGAGCGGCGGGCGCGCCCGGGCUGUCCCUCGGGGCGGCGGGCUAACGCGGCCGCUUUGUUCUUCGCUUCUCGGCUCGAGGCCCCAGUCUCGACCGCCGACCGCCUCGGAACCGGGCUGCAUCCGAGCUGCCACGCGGCGUGUGAACCUUGAAGCGCGGCCGGGGAAUCCGCAAGGCGCCGACUCUCUUCCUCCUUGCAAGCCCUUCGAAAGUGAGAUUUCUCACCCCACCCUUGCAGGGUGGAGAGAACACGUUUCAAAAAGGGGAUGCCUAGAACUCAGCCGUGGGAAGUGCCUGUCUAAAGCCUUGUGCUGGUGCCAGUAGCAAACCCGUGCGCGUGCUCGGCUUUGAGCGAUCAUGGAGCUCUGCAAAUAGCUCAACUGCAGAGCGUGCCCCUUAGAGCUCCUGUGCUGCUGGGAGGCCUCAUAAAGGUGCCAAAACCAGGUGUCCCCAGCGGUUGGCCUCUUUAAAAAGAAAAAAAAAAAAAGGCGGAGUGGGAUGUCCUUGACGUGCUGAAAGACGGAGUAGAAUGAGACGUUGGUUUUCAUUGGCUGGCCAUUAAGCACGCACUGCGCAACUGUUUUCCAGAUACGGGUUUAUAGCCCAUUAUUUAUAUCGGAGCCAUAAACUUGAACAAUAGAUUGGAAUAUCUUAUUUUUGCCUGUUGAGAAUAUCUCCCAUUUAACUUCUUUUGAAAGUUCAGAUGAGUAUAUAAAUAAUACAUUGACCCAGUAGAAUCUAUUGUGUGCGUUCCAGCGUCAUUUCAAAGAGCUAUUGUUUUUCUGAUUUCAAAAGAAAUAUUUAAAUGUGAGUCUUUGUGUUUUAAUGUUAACCUUGUGGUUCGAAAUCAACAAAGCCAGGAAAUUCAAGAGAACUGCUGCU
rnacentral:lncRNA from 1 species